AAACACACACUUAGGUGUGUUUGGUCGAUUAAAAAACGCAGGGAAUGAGCAGGAGCUUCACACAAACCCUAACUCUCACUAAAUCAAUCAAUUGAAGGCUCUAAUCUGGUCCAAAUCGAAAUCCGAGCACGUAUUAGUGAUCCCCACUGAAAAAGGAGUCACAAGUUUGACUCUAAACAAGCUAGGUGGGAGCUUGGAAAGGAACGGGUCAAACGAAUGAUGGAUGCGAAGGAUGUUUGCGCGGACGCGAGGUAAGUAAAACUUACACCACUUGGAGUAUAUGUGUUUAUUCUAUAAGCGAUGAAUACAAUAAAUGAUUAGGUUCGAAUCAUGGGUUCUGACACGAAACGAAAUGAGUCGGAACCAAUAAAAAUGUUUUAAACCAUGAUUAAUGGUGAAAGAGGCAAAUUGGUAAAUUGGUCAUGUAAUGACUAAUAACUAAUGAGUUUUCGUUAAGAUCACUUUAAAGUGCAACUAAUAACGAGAAAAUAAGUAAAGAUGGAAAAUUAGUCAAGUACCGACUAAAUUAAAUGAUAGUUUAAAGGGUCUAGUGGCAAAAAAAUCCGAAAUGGGUCGGAGGGGCAAAUUGGCCAAACAGGUCAAAUGGCGUGAUAACACUAUUUGA
rnacentral:lncRNA from 1 species